UUUUUUUUGAAAAGAAAAAGUCGUAACAAGGUUUCCGUAGGUGAACCUCGCGGAAGGAUCAUUACCUUUCUUCAGCGGGGGACUUGUCCCUGUCUGUAUACCCAUUGUCCUUUUGCGUACUUUAUGUGUUUCCUGGGGCGGGGCAACCUCGCGCGACUGGACCACCUUAAAAACCUUUUUGUAAUUGCCAAUCCAGCGUCUGAAAUAAAUUUAAUUAUUUUACAACUUUCAACAACGGACUUCUUGGUUCUGCCAUCGAUGAAGAACGCAGCGAAAUGCGAUAAGUAGUGUGAAUUGCAGAAUUCAGUGAAUCAUCGAAUCUUUGAACGCACAUUGCGCCCCUUGGUAUUCCAUGGGGCAUGCCUGUUCGAGCGUCAUUUGUACCCUCAAGCUCUGCUUGGUGUUGGGUGUUUGUUGCGUCCUGGACGCGACUCGCCUUAAAUGUAUUGGCAGCCGGCGUAUUGGCCUUGGAGCGCAGCACAAUUUGCGAGCCACAGACCUUUGGUUGGCGUCCACAAAGCUCAUUAUCACUUUGACCUCGGAUCAGGUGAGGUGCAGC
rnacentral:rRNA from 1 species